CGAAGUUGCCCUUUCGCCUCAUGAUUUAUAUUUGGUCAGAGUAGCCCUGUUCCGCUUUCUACUAGCUGGAAUGUGUGUUGGACAUGUUGUUUCAAUAUGAGACAAUCAGCUGGGCCCUCUGUGGAAUGUCCCCGGAGACUGGAAACGACCUCCCAACAGGGUCAUUUGUUCAGCAGACUUCUAAGUGGCAUUCUUCAACAUCUGCAUUCUAUUAAUACCUUCAGAACAUUUCCAUCAGCUUUGGGAAAUCAGAAGAUGCUUUGAGAGAUGGUCGGCACCGACUCCCGGGGAAUGUUUAAUUCCUCUUCGUGAGGCUUUGGCGUUGGCGGGGACCUCCUCCUGCCCUGUCCCUUCUCCUUCAGCGUCACGCAGGUGGAUAUCCACGUUCGCCCAGUAAAACCCCAGGGCGAGGCGGUCUGUCAGGUGGACCGCUUUAGCCUAGGAGGGCCCACGGUGGAAGGCGAGUGUGUAAACACGCGGGAGAGAGUUGGAUGCGGGCAGAGCCAGCCGGGACAGACACCCUGGCCGCGUCUGCAGGAAAGGAGUGGAGAGAAAGGCCACAGUGCAAGGGGCCCCGGCGCAGUGGUGCAGGGCUGGCUUCCAAGUGCCCAUGGGCGCCUCGGCCCGGCCGGCCGGCCCCGUCUUGUCCUCCCAGGGCACGGAGGCGUGGCGGGGAAGGUUUGAAAAGAGGGGUGCAACGAAGAGGUGGAAGCAAGGGGGCAUUUCUUUAGGGAAAAUGAAAAAAAACCCCAACUAGCUGAAAUACACAGAUCACGUGGAACUAAAACUUAGGUCAGUGAAGAGCACACUCGGGGAGGGUGAUGUGCUCCCGGACACUUGGCCUCCCGAGGAGCUGGAUGUAGAGGAGACCUCGGGGAGAAAGUCGUGAGGGUGGAGGGCUGCUGGACGGGAAAGACGAGGGAGAAAACAGGGAAUCUGCGACCCCGUGCAGGGCCAGUUCGACCGGGCUCAACUCAGCGGAGCGUUUCAUGAAUAUUCACCGUGUGCAAACGCGGAGCCAGGUACCCUGUAAAGCAGGCUUCGAGGUCACAGGAAACGCGAUCAGAAAGUGAGAUCUAACAGCGGGGGACAGUUUCCCAAGGGGCAGCAAGGACACACUCAGGGCAAGCACGGGCCCUGUGGACCGCGGGCCGGCCAAGCCCACGUGAGGGCCAGACCGUGCACCUGCUGGGGGUAAGUGAGAUGCACGUGCCUCGGUGCGGAAGCCCCCUCCCCAAAUCUGUCACAGCAGCUGAAGAGGUGUGUGCAAACAGAUGCAUUCAGGUGUUACCUUCAAGGGAUUAAAGAGUAAGCCUCUGCCUCUAAGAAGUCCUGGAAACGUAAUUUUGCCCAACAUGUACGUUACUGCUUAGAAUGCUAAUAUGCAAGGCUGGAGGGAUGAAUUAUAAGUCUUGGUAAAAAUUAUGGAGCAGUUUUCUUGGAAACUGAGAAGAAUGCCAGACUCUGAUAAGGCCCCUGAUUGUGAUAAACUGCUUCCUGCCUGUGUGAUUCUGAGACAGCUUGUCUUCACUGGCCCAGAGGAGGCUGAGGCAGUGGGAAAGGCCCCCUCGCCAUCCCGGACCCGAGGGGGUGCCUGCUGAGCAGCAUCCUCUGCCAGCGGGAGGGACCUGCCGGACAGCCGUCACCGCCGCCCACGCUCCACCGGCCCUGGUGGCAAACCCUGACCUCAGCCUGGCACUUCUUGCCCCGGUAUCAGGCGAGCAUUCCGUGAGCAAAAGCUUAAAAAAGACGCGACCGUCCGCGUCUGAGAUUCAAAUCUUCUUUCACUUUGUCAGAAUCCGGCAGAAUCACUUGGAAAACAAAUAAACAGAUACGACACAGAGCUGGAGUCGGGUCUUUGGCUCAGGAAAUUCUUGAGCUCACGUGUCUGCUCGGAAGAGGUUCCCACAGCCUGGCCAUUAUUUUUUAUCUAUCCCCACAGGAUGUACUCCUACACUGUCUCUUCCAGGGUCCCUUGCUUCCUGUCCGUGUUCCCACAGCUGCCGAGGGUGACGGCUCCAGUGUGCCCUCAGAGACUUCUGAACCUGGGGUCCUCGCUGUCUGCCUGAGCUGGUAGCUGCCUGCAAAUGCGUGGCAGAUGUUCAACAUCAGGAAUCAAAACCGAGUUUUCGCACCACGCGGCACAUUCUUCCUCCGGGUCCUCUCGACAGGAUGUGGAACAAUUUCCCUCAUCUGUUGCUUGCUCAGUGGGGUUGGGACUCUGUGGAUUUUACAAUGAUACUUAGAUUCCUCCCAAAUCUCUUCCAAGAGGUUAAAAAACAAAGAAAACGUUGAUUCAGUCACAGACGGUUUCUAGUUGAGCGGUUUCUGGCUUUGUGGGACACACAGGUGAAAUCGGGAAGCAGAAGAAGGAGAGGAACCACCUCAUGGGGUUUCCUGAGUCUUGGCAUCCAAAGAAUGCCCUCCGGCUAGCCCAGGGGUCCUCUAAAUUCUGAAGAAAACGUGACCAAUCUACAAGAUUAAGGAAAAAAGCAAAAGGCAAUCUCUGUUCAUUUGCAAAUUGGACAAAUUCUGAGAAUUACUGCAAUCCUGCACUGGCACGGAGGGCACUCUGGUAGGGGACAGACAAGAGGGGCGCCAUUUCUCGCAACUAUACUCAGUAUGUGAUCAGUGUCCAGUGACACAAUUUGGAAAAUAUGCCUACUGCAACGGUUUCCUUCUGGAUUCCCAGGCUGUCACGCUGGGUUCACAGAUGCUGUCCUGCGUGGGCGUGGCUCAUCCAGUGUCUUGCACAAGCUGGGUGUCGGCGAGCGUUGGUGAAGGGGACCGAGGCGCCCUUUAUUUGUCUUUAUUUGUGCUAGCACGGAACGGGACCGGAAGGCAUCCAACCCAGCACCCCUACUCCUCGUCCAGGAUUUGAGCCUGGAGAGUCUGGGCCACGACCCUCAUCAGGGUGGGCUUGACUGCUUACCCGUUACUAACA